rnacentral:rRNA from 1 species
UACGUAGGGUGCGAGCGUUAAUCGGAAUUACUGGGCGUAAAGCGUGCGCAGGCGGUUCUGAAAGUCAGCUGUGAAAGCCCCGGGCUUAACCUGGGAAUUGCGGUUGAAACUACAGGGCUAGAAUCUGGCAGAGGGGGGUGGAAUUCCACGUGUAGCAGUGAAAUGCGUAGAGAUGUGGAGGAAUACCGAUGGCGAAGGCAGCCCCCUGGGAUAACACUGACGCUCAUGCACGAAAGCGUGGGGAGCAAACAGG